CCCUUAGAUGUUCUGGGCCGCACGCGCGCUACACUGACGACUUCAACGAGUUUUUUUCAUUUGAAAAAGUCCUUGGCCGGAAGGUCUGGGUAAUCUUUUAAAAGGUCGUCGUGAUGGGGCUAGAUUCUUGCAAUUAUUAAUCUCCAACGAGGAAUUCCUAGUAAACGCAAGUCAUCAACUUGCAUUGAUUACGUCCCUGCCCUUUGUACACACCGCCCGUCGCUACUGCCAACUGAGAUGGGUCCUGAAUUGUUAGGAACGCCCGUCAAGGGGCCUACCCGGUCCCUAGUGCGGUGACGAGAAUAACUGUAAAUGGCAUAUCUUGUAGGGAGUAAAAGUCGUAACA
rnacentral:rRNA from 1 species